ACAAACUUGACUUUUUAUGAUCUGUCUCCUUUCUUUUGAUAUUUAUGUACAUACAUGUAACUUAUUUUACUUUGUUCAUGUUUUUUAUUGUGCCUUUUGUUCAUUGUCAUUUAUUGCAUCAUUCAAUAAAUGACCAUUUCUAUUCUCUAAAGAGGAGUUAUAUUUUAUAUCGAUGGUGGUGGUAAGGCAAGCAGACAUAAAAACAAUUUAUGUACAAUAAAUGGUUUAUGUAUGUUGCCAGUUGGUAAUGUGGGGAUUUUUCCCCAUUUAGUGAUAUUCUUAUCUGGCAAUUUGCAUACAUUGUGACUGCGCAUGCGCACUUUUUUCCUGAACUCCAGUCAUGGAGAAAACUUGCUGUCUGCCACCACCCACCCCUCCUCCAUAUUGUAUCUAGUCAUGUUAAUGUUUUAUUGUUGCCUUCUAGGGGUUAACGCCCCCUUUUUCUCCAGAUAUGCAUUAUUCUUGAGACUCAUUUAAUUUUGGCUAGAUAUUUUUUAGGUCGAUUAUGCCGAAAUUGUAUUCUAGUCUUUCGAUACAACUUAAUGUUGACCACCCCCUUUUUCUCCAGAUAUGCAUUAUUCUUGAGACUCAUUUAAUUUUGGCUAGAUAUUUUUUAGGUCGAUUAUGCCGAAAUUGUAUUCUAGUCUUUCGAUCUAACUUAUUGUUGCUCUCAGGCACAAACUUGACUUUUUAUGAUCUGUCUCCUUUCUUUUGAUAUUUAUGUACAUACAUGUAACUUAUUUUACUUUGUACAUGUUUUUAUUGUGCCUUUUGUUCAUUGUCAUUUAUUGCAUCAUUCAAUAAAUGACCAUUUCUAUUCUCU
rnacentral:misc_RNA from 1 species